UCCGUAGGUGAACCUGCGGAAGGAUCAUUAACAAAUGCGAAACGGGGGAGCUGUCGCUGGCCUUUCGGGGCAUGUGCACGCUCCUUCGAAUCCAAAUUUAAACCUGUGAACCAACGGCGGAGGGGUCUUCGAGGUUGCUUCGGCGCCGAGGGGGCCUUUCCUGCUCAUUAUACACCCUUUGUAUGUUCAGAAUGUCUUUUGCGUAUUUUCGCAACAUAUACAACUUUCAGCAACGGAUCUCUUGGCUCUCGCAUCGAUGAAGAACGCAGCGAAAUGCGAUAAGUAAUGUGAAUUGCAGAAUUCAGUGAAUCAUCGAAUCUUUGAACGCACCUUGCGCGCUCCGGUAUUCCGGAGCGCAUGCCCGUUUGAGUGUCGUGGUAUCAUCAAACCUCCAUCGUUUCGGCGGUGGUCGGCUUGGAUAUGGAGGUGUUGCUGGGCCCUUUUGGGUUCGGCUCCUCUCAAAUGCAUUAGCUGGGACGUUCGGUCUAAAGGCUCUGGCGUGAUAGUGAUGUUGCGUCGUGGUCUAAGGCCUCUUGUGUCACCGCUUCCAAUCGUCCGCGAGGACAGCAUUGUUUUUUGACCUUUGACCUCAAAUCGGGUAGGACUACCCGCUGAACUUAAGCAUAUCA
rnacentral:rRNA from 1 species